AAAACGCACGGAGCCUCCGCCCAGGCCCCGGAAGGACAAUGUGCCCGACAACUGGCGAUGGCUGUAGGAAGCCAUGGUGAGGCGGAGGAUGGACGGAACCACCCUGGGCCCAGCAGCUGUGAUUGGCAGGAGGAGCCACAUCUUUCAUUCUUACAGCCUCAGUCUCUCUGCAUCCUUAUACUUAAGAUAAAAAAGAACAUUCCGAAGAGAGGGAAAGCCACGUGAAAACAUUGGGUAUGGAAGGAACUAUAGUGUUUCCAAGAUUGGAGUAUGGCCCUCCCAGAUGGAGAGGCAAUGCAGUGUGGAAAAGGCCACAGACUCCACAAGACGUAGCACAUGCGGUGGUCAGGGGCAGGGACUCCAGCCUGCCUGCCUGGGCUUAAAUCCCUGUUGAGCACUUUAUAAGCUGCACACCCUUUUGUUCAGGUUACUCAAACCCAUGGGUCUCAGUUAAAUCAACUGUAGAAUAAGGCUAAUAAUAGGCUGUGAAAAUAAAAGUGUUCCAUACAUGUCACGCACUACAAAUGGUGCCAGAUCAUAAUAAUCACACAAGAUGUUGUAAUUAUGUUAUUUGUUAAAUACAAAUACAAUCAUGCACAUACAUAAAACUGUGAUUUGAAAUUAUAUUCUAAGUAUGUGUCACCAUUGGCUUGAACAGGGAGAAGUGUGAGAAACUUCCAUAUUUCUCUGCUUAAGUCUAUGAAUAAACCAAUUAUACUCCAAA